rnacentral:hammerhead_ribozyme from 1 species
AUCCAGCUGACGAGUCCCAAAAUAGGACGAAACGUGCGUCCUGGAU